GAUGAACGCUGGCGGCGUGCCUAAUACAUGCAAGUCGAGCGAACAGACGAGUAGCUUGCUCCUCUGACGUUAGCGGCGGACGUGUCACUUACACGUCGUUCACCCACCUAUAAGACUGGGAUAACUUCGUGAAACCAGAGCUAAUACCGUAUAAUAUCUUCAUCCGCAUGGUUCAAUAGUUCAAGACGGUUUUGCUGUCACUUCUAGCUGGAUCCGCGCGGCAUUAGCUAGUUGGUAAGGUAACGGCUUCCCAAGGCGACAGUGCGUAGCCGACCUGAGAGGGUGAUCGCGGACACUGGAGCUGAGACGCGGUACAGACACCGACGGGAGGCAGAAAUAGGGAAGCUUCCGAAAUGGGCGAAAGACUGAAGGAGCAGCGCAGCGUGGGUGAUGAAGGGCUGCGGAUCGUAAGACUGUGUUAUGAGGGAAGAACGAAUGUGGAAGGAACUAUGCACGUCGUGACGGUACCUGAACAGAAAGCAACGGCUAACUACGUG
rnacentral:rRNA from 1 species